UGCACCGGUGGCCCAGUGAGUAGAGCGUCCGCCUCUGUUGCGGGAGGUCGCGGGUUCGAAAAUCUCGACCGAGUCAA